rnacentral:ncRNA from 1 species
AAUGAAGAGGGUGUUGAAAUCAAGGAAGCAUUUUAGGGAAUUCCAUAAAUUUUUCCCCUUCAAGAAAUAUCACAGACAACCUUCCAUCCAAAGUCAACAAAAUUGAAACCCAUUUUUGAUAGUUGUUGGUGCCUCAUCCUAUAACUGACGACAACAUUAGGAAAUCUAGAGACAUCGUCGAGGGCCUCAAGAAGAGUUAUCUUUUAUUUUUAACAUCUUUCCCACCUUGACAUCGGCUUUACCGGAGAUAGGGUCCAGCAGCUGGAAGAGAAUCACACGUCUUGCGGUGUCUGGUGCACCCUCAACGGCCCUUGAAAAUUUGGAGGACCGAGUAUCGUCCAUGCUCAGUCGUACUCAUAACCACAUUAGGUCUCCACGGUGAACAAACUUU